GGGGCUGAUCGGUUUCGACUUGGGACGUUAGUUCCAGGGGAAGCGGGUCGAGGAGCCAGCGACAUCUCGUAAACGACCGCUGGAAACCAUAAGUGCCAACGCUAAGCGCACUGACUUCGCUCUCGCCGCCUGAUUGCGGUGAUCGAAGGGUCUGACCGGG
rnacentral:tmRNA from 1 species